rnacentral:rRNA from 1 species
GCUUUACUGUAACUUGAAAUUGAAAUUGGACUUUACUUGCGCAGUAUAGGUGGGAGGCGUUGAGUUUAUUCUUGCGGGAAUUUAGGAGCCAUCAGUGAGAUACCACUCUGGUAAUGUUAGAUUUCUAACUUUGUAUCAUAAUCUGGUCAAAGGACAGUUUCAGGCGGGCAGUUUGACUGGGGCGGUCGCCUCCUAAAUGGUAACGGAGGCGUACAAAGGUUUCCUCUGAACGUGUAGAAAUCGUAUCUAGAGUAUAAAGGCAUAAGGAAGCUUGACUGUGAGACUUACAAGUCGAGCAGGGACGAAAGUCGGUCUUAGUGAUCUGACGGUGCUGAGUGGAAAGGCCGUCACUCAACGGAUAAAAGUUA